UUGCAAACAAGAUCACUAGCCCAGCGUGUUGUUGCUGAAGCAAGGGGAACAUGUUUGCUAAAGUAACAGUGGCUAUAGAAGGGCAGCCUAAGAAAAAUUAAUUUUCAGGCUAAAGCUUCUAUACCAGCACAUAG